AUUGAACGCUGGCGGCAGGCCUAACACAUGCAAGUCGAGCGGUUGAAGGGAGCUUGCUCCUGGAUUCAGCGUCGGACGGGUGAGUAAUGCCUAUGAAUCUGCCUGGCAGUGCGGGAUAACGUCCGGAAACGGGCGCUACUACCGCAUACGUCCUGCGGGAGAAAGAGGGGGAGCUUCGGACCUCACGCUAUCAGAUGAGCCUAGGUCGGAUUAGCUAGUUGGUUGGGUAAAGGCCUACCCAGCCGACGAUCCGUAACUGGUCUGAGAGGAUGGUCAGUCACCCUGGAACUGAGACACGGACCAGAGUACUACGGGAGGCAGCAGUGGGGUAUGUUAGGCAGUGGGCGGAAACCUGAUACAGCCAGGCCGCGUGUGUGAAGAAGGUCUUCGGAUUGUAAAGCACUUUAAGUUGGGGUGAAGGGCAGUAAGUUGAUAACUUGCUGUUUUGACGUUACCAGCAGAAUAAGCACCGGCUAACUACGUG
rnacentral:rRNA from 1 species